rnacentral:rRNA from 1 species
AGUGAACGCUGGCGGUAGGCCUAACACAUGCAAGUCGAACGGCAGCACAGUAAGAGCUUGCUCUUACGGGUGGCGAGUGGCGGACGGGUGAGGAAUACAUCGGAAUCUACUUUUUCGUGGGGGAUAACGUAGGGAAACUUACGCUAAUACCGCAUACGACCUACGGGUGAAAGCAGGGGAUCUUCGGACCUUGCGCGAUUGAAUGAGCCGAUGUCGGAUUAGCUAGUUGGCGGGGUAAAGGCCCACCAAGGCGACGAUCCGUAGCUGGUCUGAGAGGAUGGAACGGCCCACGUGGACAUGGAAACGGGCCCAACCCCUGAGGGGGGGGAGCGUGGGGGAUAUUGGGACAAUGGGGGAAACCUGACUCCGCCCUUCCCGGGGGGGGGAAAAGGGCCUUGGGGUUGUAAAGCCCUUUUGUUGGGAAAAAAAAGAAGAAGGUUAAUACCCCCCUUUUUGAACGGUCCCCAAAAAAAAAGCACGGGCUACUUUGUG